rnacentral:tRNA from 1 species
GCCUGGCUCAGUUGGUAGAGCAUGAGACUCUUGAUCUCAGGGCUGUGAGUUUGGGCCCCAUGUCAGGUG